rnacentral:ncRNA from 1 species
AUGACCCUAAUCGAAUCACAAUGAAAGAGAGGGGUACCUUCAGGAAUGCAGACACAGGUAGUCCAUGGCUGUCAUCAGCUCAUGCCGUAAGGUGUUGGGUUAAGUCUCACAACGAGCGCAACCCUCGAUUUUAGUUGCCAUCAUUGAGUUUGGAACCUUGAAUAGACUAUCGGUGAUAUACUAAAGGAAGGUGAGGAUGACGUUAAGUCAUCAUGCCUUUUAU